UAAACACGGGCUCAGAAGUUAUU
rnacentral:siRNA from 1 species